rnacentral:rRNA from 1 species
AUGGAACAAAAAUUCUAUGAUCUAGAUGUCAAAGUAACUGAGAUUCAGUCAGUUGUGGAUCAGCUUCAGGAUGACAUGCAGGAGAGGAAGGGCAAGACUACCACUAAUGUAUUUGCCAGAGUGCCUAGAACUCAGAGGUCAGCUGCAGUGCCUGUGCCAGACACUAGAGCCACAUCAUCUGCACCAGCAACAGCUCCGACAGCUCCAGUGCAACAAGCUCCAGCACCAACUCCUCCAGCUCCCUCUACUUCAACUGAAGCCUUCAUUCUUGGAGUUCUCCGGACACCACCACCAGAAGAUCAAGCCUGA